CUUUGUGAUUUUAUGCCUUCAACUUCUCUAUGCUAAAUGCAACUUCACUUCAUGACACCCCCGCUCCCUUUUUUUCGUUUAUAAUUUAUUUAUCCCUUCGAAACUUUUAUUUGUCCACAAAAAAUUGCAACUCUCCUAAACCCUAGAAUUUUUUGUUGAGAUCUGAGCUUUCUUUUGCUGCCAAUCCUUUUGUUAAUAGUGUCGUUCGAUGUCGUGGUGAUCUCCACAGAUUUUCCUUUCUCACUUAUUUUUUUAAAUUUUUCUAGGAAAAAAAACUAGUUUUCUUUGCUUUGCAGAUGUCUCCCCGCGGUUUACUCACCGAAGUGGUUUGUUUUGGCAUUUCCUUUUGGGGGUCUUAUGGACUUUAUAUUGGUGGGCGGCGGCUCUGGACGACUAUAAAUGAGAAAUUUGCCAGUCACGGGAAGCCUUGCCCCGGAACCACUAUAACCUAUGUGUGUAAGGAGUGCGGGAGUAAGAAGUGCAUUAGGGAUUGGUGCCUCAUUAAGGACAAUGGAUUUGGAUUUGAUAUUAUUCAAUCCUCAUCCCGCUAGUUGAUACUUGUUGCUUGCUUCCAAUCAAUGCUAAUGUUAAGCCAAAACUAGUGCACGUUGUUUAUGUAUUGUAAUCAGACUUCCCCUCAUUUCUUCUUGGCCACCCACUCCCCCCUUCUUUAUCUGAGGCAAUUGAGAUUGGGUCUUUCCUUCUCUUUGUAUAAGAUUUCGAAGUCAUUUAUGUAGUAG